CUAAUAGUAAGUAAUAUAUCAUAAGCAUUAUAAAAAUUUACAUAUAAGCAAUAUAUCAUGAGACAACCAAUAUGAAUAAGUCAUAUAUAACCAAUCUGAAAUUGUUUAUCUAAUCUAAACAAAAGAAUUAAAUGCAGUAGAUUCCUGACUUACACAAUUUCUGCCCCUCCAUAAUUCCAACUCCAUGUCCUUGUUGUAAAGGGGCAACAGGGAUAAGGAUUGCAGUUUUGAGUUCCAUUUGGCUAAAGGAGAAGGAAUUCAAAACCAAAGUGUGAGAUAUAAUGUUGCUUGUUGAGUGGUACUGGGGUAUGAAAGAUGUAGUAUCAUGAAUGAUUCUUUCAAGGUAUCAGGGAAAAUCUCAUUGUAUUUAGAUUCCACCUGUAUUGGAGGAUAAUCAAGUGAUGACUAUUUCCUUCCUUCAGUUUUUUUAGACUUGUAUGGUUCUUAAAAAAAUCUCUGGAUGGUAACUCUGAGUGAUUCAUCUUUUUGGGUUAAAAAGGAAAACAAUCUUAUCAGAAACUUUCAGCUACUGGGACACAUUUCUCGAUUACUUCUUUCUAGGUCAUCUAGUAACUAUCAUCCUAAGACUAUAUCUGAGUGCUUCAGACAGCUCUCAAUACAGUUUCCAAAUGAUGUGAUAAUUACAAUCUUUGCUGGAUUAACCUUGUUUCUUUU
rnacentral:lncRNA from 1 species